AUACGAAUGGAGCGAGCGUUGUUCGGAAUCAUUGGGCGUAAAGCGUAUGUAGGCGGACUAGAAAGUCGGGAGUGAAAUCCCAGGGCUCAACCCUGGAAUUGCUUCCGAAACUCCUAGUCUAGAGUCCCGGAGAGGUAAGGGGAAUUCCGAGUGUAGAGGUGAAAUUCGCAGAUAUUCGGAGGAACACCAGUGGCGUAGGCGCCUUACUGGACGGGAACUGACGCUCAGAUACGAAAGCGUGGGUAGCAAACAGGAUUAGAUACCCUGGUAGUCCACGCCGUAAACGAUGUGUGCUAGUUGUCGGGCCCAUAGGGUUCGGUGACGCCGCUAACGCAUUAAGCACACCGCCUGGGGAGUACGGUCGCAAGAUUAAAACUCAAAGGAAUUGACGGGGGACCCCGCACAAGCGGUGGAGCAUGUUCUUUAAUUCGAAGCAACGCGAAGAACCUUACCUACACUUGACAUACUAGUCGGGGAUUUCAGAGAUGAUUUCCUUCGGUUCGCCGGACUAGAUACAGGUGCUGCAUGGC
rnacentral:rRNA from 1 species